GAUUUUAGAAGAUUUCCCUGAAAAUUAUGGACAAUUAAGAACAUAAUUUUACAACUUCUUUUUUUAUUGAUUUUUAUGAACUUUAUGGACCCGUACGAACCCUGAAUAUUGUAGAACUGGUUAGCACCAAA